CGGACGGGUGAGUAACGCGUGGGUAACCCACCCUGUACACACGGAUAACAUACCGAAAGGUAUGCUAAUACGGGAUGAUAUAUUUGAGAGGCAUCUCUUGAAUAUCAAAGGUGAGCCAGUACAGGAUGGACCCGCGUCUGAUUAGCUAGUUGGUAAGGUAACGGCUUACCAAGGCGACGAUCAGUAGCCGACCUGAGAGGGUGAUCGGCCACAUUGGAACUGAGACACGGUCCAA
rnacentral:rRNA from 1 species